rnacentral:lncRNA from 1 species
CCCGCCACAUGGACGCGACAGGUCGGGGGCGCUCCGAUGGGCUGCGGAGGGGCAGCGCGGCUGCGGGAGGGCCUUGGCCCGGCGCGUGGGGAAGAUGCCGGGCCCGCCGUGGGUGAGUGGCCUCGCAGCGGGCAUCCUGGCGUCAGAGGUGAUCGCGGUGCCUGAGGCGGCUGGUGACGGCCUCAGCUCAGCGGCGUGGGGCAGGGUCGUUUGAUGUUUUGGAGCUCGCUCAGCCCGGGGCCUUUCCUCCUGACAGACGCGAGGUGAGAACGUAGCCCCGUGUUGCAGCGCCACGGCUCGUCCCUCCAGAUCCCUUUCCCAUCAGAUCUGAGUACCGAUCUUGUGGUCAAAAAAGGAGGAAAAGUAAGAUCCAGACUGGUCUUGGUCUCUUUGCUGGUGCAGUCCUGCUCUGAGAAGGGCCGGUUUGGAGACAGUCUGCGCUGGCCUCGCUCCUGCGGGAAGGCUGGGGCGGGAGUGCAGCUCCCACUCCGGAGGCGGCACAAAGGUUGGGUGUGGAGGUGCUGUGAAGAUUUGCAGGCUGGUGUUUGCGUGGCUGGAUCUGGCGCGUUGAUUCCGGGUGUACAGUAGCCCACUGACUCCAGAUACUUAC